UUCUUAUUGGAUGAUGACUGUCACGUGUCAUGUUCUGAUUGGAUGUCAACUCCAUGAAAGAUAAAAUGCAUUGUUGUUUUCAUUGAUCAAUUAGAAUAUGACACGUGACAGUCAUCAUCC
rfam:Glycine max cultivar Williams 82 chromosome 8, whole genome shotgun sequence.